GACGAACGCUGGCGGCGUGCUUAACACAUGCAAGUCGAACGAUGAAGCUAGAGCUUGCUCUGGUGAAUUAGUGGCGAACGGGUGAGUAAUACGUGAGUAACCUGCCCCGAACUCUGGGAUAACUGCUGGAAACGGUAGCUAAUACUGGAUACGACCUACGAAGGCAUCUUCUGUAGGUGGAAAGAAUUUCGGUUCGGGAUGGACUCGCGGCCUAUCAGCUUGUUGGUGAGGUAAUGGCUCACCAAGGCGACGACGGGUAGCCGGCCUGAGAGGGGGACCGGCCACACUGGGACUGAGACACGGCCCAGACUCCUACGGGAGGCAGCAGUGGGGAAUAUUGCACAAUGGGCGCAAGCCUGAUGCAGCAACGCUGCGUGAGGGAUGACGGCCUUCGGGUUGUAAACCUCUUUUAGUAGGGAAGAAGCGAAAGUGACGGUACCUGCAGAAAAAGCACCGGCUAACUACGUGCCAGCAGCCGCCGUAA
rnacentral:rRNA from 1 species